AACUGGACACAGUACUCCAGGUGAGGUCUGACCAGAGCAGAAUACAGUGGCACUAUUACUUCCCUUGAUCUAGAUGCUAUACUCCUAUUGAUGCAGCCCAGAAUUGCAUUGGCUUUUUUUAGCUGCCGCGUCACAUGUUGGCUCAUGUCAAGUUUGUGGUCAACCAAGACUCCUAGAUCCUUUUCACAUGUACUGCUCUCAAGCCAGGUGUCCCCCAUCUUGUAUUUGUGCCUCUCAUUUUUUUUGCCCAAGUGCAAUACUUUACAUUUCUCCCUGUUAAAAUUCAUCUUGUUUGUUUUGGCCCAGUUCUCUAAUCUGUCAAGGUCGUUUUGAAGUGUGAUCCUGUCCUCUGGGGUGUUAGCCACCCCUCCCAGUUUGGUGUCAUCUGCAAAUUUGAUCAGGAUGCCCUUGAGUCCAUCAUCCAAGUCGUUGAUAAAGAUGUUGAAUAAGACCGGGCCCAAGACAGAACCCUGUGGCACCCCACUAGUCACUCUUCUCCAGGAUGAAGAGGAACCAUUGAUGAGCACCCUUUGGGUUCGGUCAGUCAGCCAGUUACAAAUCCACUGAGUGGUAGCAUAGUCAAGACCGCAUUUUACCAGCUUCUUUACAAGAAUAUCAUGGGGCACCUUGUCAAAUGCCUUGCUGAAAUCAAGGUAGGCUACAUCCACUGUGUUCCCUUCAUCUACCAGGCUUGUAAUUCUGUCAAAAACGAGAUCAGGUUAGUCUGACAUGACUUAUUUUUCAGAAAUCCAUGCUGACUAUUGGUGAUCACAGCAUUCCUUUCUAGGUGCUCACAGACUGUUUGCUUAAUGAUCUGCUCCAGAAUCUUCCCUGGUAUUGAUGUCAGACUGACUGGGCGGUAAUUAUUUGGGUCCUCUCUUUCCCCUUUUUGAAAAUAGGGACAACAUUUGCCCUCCUCCAGUCUGCCGGGACUUCGCCUGUUCUCCAGGAAUUCUCAAAGAUGACUGCCAGUGGUUCUGAGAUCACAUCUGCCAGUUCUUUUAAUACUCUUGGAUGCAGUUCAUCUGGCCCUGGAGACUUGAAUACAUCUAAACUAGCCAAGUAUUCUUGUACUAUCUCCUUAGUUAUUCUGGGCUGUGUUUCCUUUGCUGAAUCAUUUGCUCCAAAUUCUUCAGGUCGGGCAUUGUUUUCUUUAUCGGAGAAGACUGAGGCAAAGAAGGCAUUGAGGAGUUCAGCCCUUUCUGUGUCCCCUGUUUGCAUUUCACCAUCUUCUCCUCUGAGUGACCCCACUGUUUCUUUGUUCUUCCUUUUGCUACGAACAUACCCAUAAAAGCCUUUUUUGUUGCUUUUAACCUCUCUAGCAAGCCUGAGUUCAUUCUGUGCUUUAGCUUUUCUGACUUUGUGUCUACACGUGCUGGCUAUUUGUUUGAAUUCCUCUUUGGUGGUUUCCCCUUUUCCAUUUUUGUACACAUCCUUUUUUAAUCUUAACUCAGUUAAAAGUUCUUUAGAUAGCCACCCUGGCUUCUUUAGGCACCUUCCAUGUUUCCGUCUUAUUGGUAUUGCCUGACGUUGUGCUUUUAGUAUCUCCCUCUUAACAAACUCCCAGCCAUCAUGAACUCCCUUUCCUUUUAGUAUUACUGUCCAGGGGAUCUCACCCAGCACUUCCCUAAGUUUUAUGAAGCCAGCUUUCUUAAAGUCAAGAAAUUGAGUCCUAGUAUGCUUGGCUGCUCCUUUCCGCUGUAUAGUAAACCUCAGAAGAGCAUGAUCACUCACGCCUAAUGAUCCUUCCACUUCUACCCCACUAACCAGGUCAUCAACACUGGUUAGGACCAGAUCUAAAAUGGCUGUUCCUCUUGUUGCUUCUCCCACUUUCUGGACAAUGAAGUUGUCUGCAAGGCCAGUGAGGAAUCUGUUUGACCUUAUGCUCUUGGCUGAGUUUGACAUCCAACAAAUAUCCGGGUAAUUGAAGUCCCCCAUUACUACUAUCUCCCUUCCUUUUGCAUGCUUGGCCAUCUGUUCCAGGAAGGCAUCAUCUAUGUCCUCCGUUUGGCUUGGGGAUCUAUAGUAAACUCCCACAAUGAGGUCACUGUUAUUCUUCUCUCCCUUAAUUUUGACCCAAAUGCUCUCACUUUGGCUUUGAGGUUCUAAAUCUUGGAUCUCUUCACAGGUAUACACAUCCCUGACAUAUAACGCCACUCCUCCUCCUUUCUUGUCUGGUCUGCUUCUCUGAAAUAGAUUGUAUCCCCCCCAUUAUUACAUUCCAAUCGUGGGACUUAUCCCACCAGGUUUCAGUGAUGCCUAUUAUGUCAUAUUUAGUUUGCUGUACCAAGAGCUCAAGCUCAUCUUGUUUAUUUCCCAUGCUUUGCGCAUUAGUGUACAGACAUUGAAGUCCAUUAAUCAUUCCCCCGUGUUUCUUAUUUAAGGAUUUUUUCCUCCCACCACUAGGUCUGUGUGCUGUUUGCUCCAUUUGGUCUAUGACAUUUGGAUGAUCAUCUUCAUCAAUUGAUAGACUCCUACCUUCAGGAGCACUGUCUCCCUCCCCCCACAUUAGUCAGUUUAAAGCCCUCCUGAUGAGGUUUCUGAGAUUUUUGGCAAAAACAUUCCUCCCAACCGUUGUGAGGUGCAGCCCAUCGCUUGCCAGAAGUCCAUCUUCAAGAAACUGCAGUCCGUGAUCUAAGAAUCCAAACCGUUCCUGUUUACACCAUUUGCGAAGCCAGCUGUUCACUUCCACUAUUUUUCCCUCUCUCCCUGGGCCACGCUCGUUCAACUGGGAGGACAGAUGAGAUGACAAUUUGUGCAUUUAAUUGCUUCAACUUCCUGCCCAGAGCCUCGUAGUCUCUUUUGAUCUUCUGGAGGCUAUUGCUCGCAGUGUCAUUGGUUCCCACAUGAACCAAGAGGAAGGGGUAUUUGUCAGUGGGUUUUAUGAUUCCUUGCAGUCGUUCAGUUACAUCUUGGAUCUUAGCCCCGGGGCGACAGCACACUUCCCGAGACAUCUUGUCAGGCCCACAGAUCACUGCUUCUGUUCCCUCAGUAGGGAAUCCCCUAUCACCACUACACGCCUCCUCUUAGGUUUGGUCGGGGUUCUUCCGUGAGCUGUCCGUUCCAAGGUCGCCUGCACAUUCCCUGAGGACUGACUUUGCUGCUCGUCUUCAUAUACCUGAUCAACUGUAAUGAGGGAGAGAUCCUCAAAUGGAGUCUGCUCUUCGUCUUCCAUGCUAGGGGAGAGGACCUCAAAGCGAUUGUGUAUUUCUAAACAAUCAGAGCGAACCUUGGGCCUCCUACUUCUUUGAGUCACGUUUCUCCAUAUAUCUGGCUCCUGUGUUGGUGUACUAGCCUCCUUGUCAGGGGAGUCCCCUGUCUCCUCCUUGGUGGAGACGUUGUGCUCUGUUGCUUCCAAGAAAAGCUCCAGCUCCCUAAUUCUUUGGAGCGUAGCUACACGUUCCUCCAGUUGCUGGACUUUGUCUUUUAAGAGGGCAAUCAACAUGCAAUUGCUGCAGGUAAAGCUGCCUGCAACCUUUGGCAAGAUGGCAAACAUUGCGCAGGAACCGCAGGCGACUGCAGCUGUUCCCUCCCCCUCCAUCUUGAGAACGUGUCGUUGGGGCUGGCUACAGCGGUCCUCCAUCAAAAAAAAAGCGUAAAGACAGGACAAAUAACUCCCCCCACA